GACGAACGCUGGCGGCGUGCCUAAUACAUGCAAGUGGAACGCUGAAGGAGGAGCUUGCUUCUCUGGAUGAGUUGCGUACGGGUGAGUAACGCGUAGGUAACCUGCCUGGUAGCGGGGGAUAACUAUUGGAAACGAUAGCUAAUACCGCAUAAUAGUAGAUGUUGCAUGACAUUUGCUUAAAAGGUGCAAUUGCAUCACUACCAGGUGGACCUGCGUUGUAUUAGCUAGUUGGUGGGGUAACGGCUCACCAAGGCGACGAUACAUAGCCGACCUGAGAGGGGGAUCGGCCACACUGGGACUGAGACACGGCCCAGACUCCUACGGGAGGCAGCAGUAGGGAAUCUUCGGCAAUGGACGGAAGUCUGACCGAGCAACGCCGCGUGAGUGAAGAAGGUUUUCGGAUCGUAAAGCUCUGUUGUAAGAGAAGAACGAGUGUGAGAGUGGAAAGUUCACACUGUGACGGUAUCUUACCAGAAAGGGACGGCUAACUACGUG
rnacentral:rRNA from 1 species